AGGAACAAUAUCCCUAAAAUUCCUCUCCCAUUCUGCCAUCUCUCUCUUGCCACUCUUCUCAUUUUCUAUUUUGUUUCAUUUUGCUACUGUGACGAAUGUGGAAUGGAUAAUAGUCCGGCGAUUCAGGUGUUGUAGGAAUCGCUCUUUUUCUUGGGUACGAAGCAUAAGCUGAUGAUGUCUGGAAUGACUCCCUUUUGAUGGGGAACUGAUUCCAUUCUAACUUCCACCUUCUGCUGAUGGUUGACUCGAGCUCUUCCUACUAGGCCUUCCAUUUUGUCGGCCAAAUGCAUCCGAUAAACCGAGCUAUUGGAUUUUUCAACUUCAGAAGAAAUGAGUGACAACCCAUCAUUGGACCCCCUCUUCCCAUAGGAACCCUUUCUCGAUCUUCUUCCCUGUCAUUAUGAAGCUCUUCAGUUAUGAAAUCCUUAUUUAUGGUUGCUUUGAAACCUACUGCUUCCAUUGCAGGAGGAAGAGAUGUAAGUAGUAGAGAGUGGUAAUGAAAAUGUUGAAAUCAAAGUUUGUGGGACUGUGAAAAUGAAGAUAAAGAGUUAAGGAGCACAAGCUACAUUAAUUUGUCCCAUGUUUGCAGUUUAGGAUUUAACAAAGAGCAGCGGCGGCUAAGCGGCAUUUAUAAGAGAGUUUUGCCAAAGUGAAGAAAUAGGGCUUCCCCAAGAUGAAGGUGUAAUCCUUCAUUUCCAACUCGACAGCCCAGCUUUCUGGUAAAAUGUUUUUGGAUAUUUUGUAAAUGUAUUGGAAAAAGGAAGGGUUGUGUUGGUUAUGAUGAGUAAGGCUACCAAUGAGGUGUUGGCGAGGAGAGGUGGAAUUGAUGGUGAGGUUUUGAGAAAGGGUAAUAGUUGAUCCUCUUUGGCUUUAAUGUUUUACUUGACAUCAGUUAAUUUGAAAUGUAGGAGAUUUUGCAGUGUGUCACGGGAACAAAGUGACAAAGAAAU